rnacentral:lncRNA from 1 species
UAAGCUUUCAUUUCUCAAAGUAAGACGAUGAGUCUGACUUUGGACUGGAUAUUUCAUCUGAUAUCUUUGUUCAAGUUAAGGGUGCGAACAAAAUCUGACACGAUAGGAAGAAGUGGAAAGGAAUGAAUGGCAGAAAUUGGGAAUCAUCUAUCUGUUCCAAACAUCCAAUGUUCAAAUGAGGACCAGGUAAUGGCUAAAUAGUUUCAGACUACUUUUUUGUGGAAUGGUGCAGAGAAUGAGCAAAUUCAGAUUUGGCUU